rnacentral:rRNA from 1 species
GAUGAACGCUGGCGGCGUGCUUAACACAUGCAAGUCGAACGGAAAGGCCCAAGCUUUCUUGGGUACUCGAGUGGCGAACGGGUGAGUAACACGUGAGUGAUCUGCCCUGCACUUCGGGAUAACCCUGGGAAACUGGGUCUAAUACCGGAUAGGAGCUUGUGCUGCAUGCCGUUGGUUGGAGAUUUUUCGGUGUGGGAUGUGGUCUCGGCGUAUAAGCUUGUUGUGGUGGUGUUGUGCUACCCAAAGGUCGACGGGUAGACGGGCUGUGAGGGGGUACGGCGACAUUGGGAGUGAGAGACGGGGCAGAGUCCUACGCGGGGGAGAAGAGUGGAAUAUAGCGCAAUGUGGGCAAGACUGAGGCAGCGACGCCGCGUGGGGGGUGAGGGCGUUCGGGGUGUAAACUCCGCUCGCUAGGGACGCAGCGUGUUUGUGACGGUACCUGGAGAAGAAGCACCGGCUAACUACGUG